rnacentral:rRNA from 1 species
UACGAAGGGGGCUAGCGUUGCUCGGAAUCACUGGGCGUAAAGCGCACGUAGGCGGCUUUUUAAGUCAGGGGUGAAAUCCUGGAGCUCAACUCCAGAACUGCCUUUGAUACUGAGAAGCUUGAGUCCGGGAGAGGUGAGUGGAACUGCGAGUGUAGAGGUGAAAUUCGUAGAUAUUCGCAAGAACACCAGUGGCGAAGGCGGCUCACUGGCCCGGUACUGACGCUGAGGAGCGAAAGCCAGGGGAGCAAACGGG